GUGCUCGCUUCAGCAGCACAUACAUGAAAAUUGGAACGAAGCAGAGGUCAGCAUGGCCUCUGCGCAAGAAUGGCAGGCAAAUUCAUGAAGCGCUGUAUAUUUUA
ensembl:snRNA U6 U6 spliceosomal RNA